UUGAGCGGCAUGCGGGGAAACUCGCACGUGCCGUUCUGAGGGGGCGGGGCGGCGGCAACGCCGUCCUGCUACCCGAC
rnacentral:ncRNA from 1 species